CUAGUCUUGGGUCAGGGG
rnacentral:misc_RNA from 1 species